rnacentral:misc_RNA from 1 species
CUUUUUAAGUGCUACUUGGUUCCUCCUCUUCAACUUCAGAUGCAUUAGUUUCCAUCUUCUCAAACUUUGCAACUCGAAAAAUCGCCAAAUUAGUAUCCCCAAACGUCACGAGACUUCCAGGCAAUGCAGCAGCAGCCACACCAGGUACGAGCCUUUUCUCACCGAUGAAAGUACCAUUCGUGCUGUCUAAAUCUGUCACUACGAGAUAGUCCUCCAUGUUCUGCAGCCGAGCAUGUAUUGCAGAUACUGUAGGCACCGGAAUGACUACAUCAGCCUUAUCAGCAACGCGUCCAACAAUUACUGCACCGGAAGGUAUUUCAAGAGAG